rnacentral:lncRNA from 1 species
AUUAAGUUAUAAAUACAUUUAUGUAAGUUUUGUAAUAGAAACAUAUUUGAUUUUCUUAAUGAUAUUACACAAAUUAAUUUUGUUUUAUUAUUAUUAUAUCGUAGAAAAUAUUCAUAUUUUUACAGUUAUUUGCAGGUAUGUUUUCUUUGUCGUGUCUUAAUUACUAACCAUUCAAAUCCACAUACUUUCUUAUCUAAGAGCUUGAAAAUUUUUCUAUAUAGAUAUAUAUAUGUCCUUUCACAACAAACCCACAUGCACGUGAACAUUAUAUAUAUAUACAUACAUACAUACAUACAUACAUAUAUAUAUAUAUAAUAAUGAAAUUAUUGUAUACAGUGCUCAGGUGCACCACAACUUGUGUCAUAAAGUGCGUAUACAUAUAAGUAUAUGCAGUUUAUAUACAUAUAAUAGUAUAUAUAUAAAAGAUAUAUAUAGUAUAUGCAGUAUAUAUACAUAUAAAGUAUAUAUAUAUAUAUGCAUAUAAAGUAUAUGCAGUAUAUAUAUACAUAUAAAGUAUAUGCAGUAUAUAUAUACAUAUAAAGUAUAUGCAGUAUAUAUAUAUAUAUAAAGUAUAUGCAGUAUAUAUAUACAUAUAAAGUAUAUGCAGUAUAUAUAUACAUAUAAAGUAUAUGCAGUAUAUAUAUACAUAUAAAGUAUAUGCAGUAUAUAUAUACAUAUAAAGUAUAUGCAGUAUAUAUAUACAUAUAAAGUAUAUAUAUAUAGUAUAUAUAUAUAUACAUAUAAAGUAUAUGCAGCAUAUAUAUAUAUAUAUAUAUAUAUAUAAAGUAUAUGCAUAUAUAUAUAUAUAUAUAUAUAUAUAUAUACAUAUAAAGUAUAUGCAGUAUAUAUAUAUAUAUAUAUAUAAAUAUAUCACAUAUAUAUAUAUAUAUAUAUAUAUAUAUAUAUAAAGUAUAUAUAUACUAUAUACAUUUAUAUAUAUAUAUAUAAAGUAUAUAUAUAUAUAUAUAUAUAUAUAUAUGAGUAGAGGGGUGUGUAUUUGUGUGUGUGUGUGUGUGUGUAUGCAUGAUAGAAAUCUCAAUUUUCUGUUGCUGUAUAUACAAUUUGCUUAAAAAGCACGGAGUUGCUAUUAUACAUAUAAAAUGGGAAGUUGCAAGAUCGCUCGAUAUUCUAGAUGACUAAGCUACUCCCCAAAACCUCACUUCAUUUUUUUAAUACUUCUUACCCUUCUCCUCUUCCAUUAUUUUUCUUAUAUAUAUAUAUAUAUAUAUAUAUAUAUUUCCACCCCACCCCCACCCCUACGCCUAAUUCCCUUCACCUCAUUACUUUCAUCUAUCACUUCUCUUCUCUACUACCUCAGAACUCAAAAGCUUUUCUUCAUUUUACUGUCCCUGCCUCUCUCUCUCUCUCGCUGUCUCUCUCUCAUUUCUAGCCUCUUGCUUUUCUCUAUAUUCUUUCUAUACUUUUAUACAUUUUCUUUUUACAUGUUUUUAUUCCUUUCUCUGCAAUUUUAGCAUGUUCUUCAUAUAUUUCUUUACUUUCUUAUUGCAGUUUAUUUAUCGGUUUCUUUCUUUUUUUUUUCUCUUUUUUUUUUUUGUUUUAUCCAAACCUCAUUCUUACUUACGACUGGGUUUUCUUAGUUAUGUUUCUGCAUUUCCCUUUCUGAGUAUAUACAUACAUAGAUAUAUAUAUAUAUGCGCAUUUAAGAGUGUUGAUAUACACAUAUAUACAGAGAGAGAGGAGUAUAUUCACACAUAUAAAUAUACACACAUUUAUAUAAAUAUAAAUAUAACUAUCAAUUUAUCUAUCAAUAUAUAUAUAAAUAGAUACAUAUACACACACACACAUAUAUAUAUAUUUAUAUAUAUAUAUAUAUAUAUAUAUAUAUAUAUAUAUAUAUAUACAUAAAGAGAGAGAGAGAGAGAGAGAUAAUUAUGUGUGUGUGCAUAUAUAUAUCAUCGUCGUUUAACGUCCGUUCUCCAUAUAUAUAUAUAUAUAUAUAUAUAUAUAUAUGUGUGUGUGUGUGUGUGUAUAUGUACAUCUAUAUUAUAUAUGCAUUCUUUUAUUCUUUUACUUGUUUCAGUCAUUUGACUGCGGUCAUGCUGGAGCAUAUCAACCCUAGAACUUAUUCUUUGUAAGCCUAAUAUUUAUUCUAACAGACUCUUUUUGUCGAACCACUAAGUUACGGGGACAUAAACAUACCCGCAUCAGUUGUCAAGCAAUGUUGGGGGGGGGGGGAUAAACACAGACACACAAACACAUACACACGCAUAUAUAUAUACAUAUACGACAGGCUUCUUCCAGUUUCCAUCUACCAAAUCCACUCACAAGGCUUUGGUCAGCCCGAGGCUAUAGUAGAAAACACUUGCCCAAAGUGCCACGCAGUGGGACUGAGCCCAGGACCAUGCAUUUGGUAAGCAAGUUACUUACCACACAGCCACCCCUGUACAAAUAUACACACAUAUAUAUUAUAUGUAUAUAUGUGAGUAUAUAUAUGUGUGUGUGUAUGUGUAUAUAUAUAUAUAUAUAUAUAUAUACAUAUAUAUAAAAUAUUAGAAAAAACCACCUUUUAUCAAUUCAAAAUGAAUAAUUAAAUUACACCAUCUAGAAAAUUCCAUAUAAUAGAAAAGUUAAAAUUAAAAUAACAAUUAAAAAGUAAAGAUUAAGUAAAUUACAAAAAAAAAUAUAAUGUAUAUAAUAGGUAGAAAAACAACACAUAUUUCGCUGCUAUAUUUAAGAAAUGAUUAUAGUAGUAGAGAAAUCACUUGCAUAUAAAUAUAGUCGGUCAUCAGGUUAAAAAUAGAUGGUACAUGGAAACUGGAAGAAGCCUGUCAUAUAUGUACAUAUGUAUGCGUGUGUAUGUGUCUGUGUUUGUCCCCCACAACACUGCUUGACAACUGAUGCUGGUGUGUUCAUGUCCCCGUAACUUAGCGGUUCGGCAAAAAGCGUCCAAUAGAAUAAGUAUUAGACUUACAAAGAAUAAGCUCUAAGGUCGAUUUGCUCAACUAAAGGCAGUGCUCCAGCAUGACCACAGUCAAAUGACUGAAACAAAUAAAAGAAUAAAAGAAUACAUAUAUAAUAUAGAUGUACAUAUACACACACACAUAUAUAUAUAUAUAAAUGUAUGUAUGUGUGUAUACAUAUAUAUGUGUGUAUAUGUGAAUGUGUAUAUUUAUACACAUUCAUACACACACAGAUAUAUAUACACAUAUACAUGCACAAAAAUCAUACUCACAUACAUACACACAUAUAUACACACACAAAUACAGGUACACACAGACAUAUUGCAAAUUUUAGCUGUCACUUCAGUUUCAUUUAGUUUACAUUUUCUUGUAUGCUGAACACAGUGGUUAGCACAUCAAUAAUUAAUGAUUUAACAGCUAGCAGGGUACUAUUUAUGCAAAUCAGAUUUCCCUGUUUAGAGGUGUACUUGUUAGUUGUGACAAUAUUUAUAAUCUCUAGGGCAGCAAGCUGGUAGAAUUGUUAGCAUGCCGGGCGAAAUGCUUAGCGGUAUUUCAUCUGCCAUUAUGUUCUGAGUUCAAAUUCCGCCAAGGUCGACUUUGCCUUUCGUCCUUUUGGGGUCGAUUAAAUAAGUACCAGUUACAUACUGGGGUUGAUGAAAUUGACUUAAUCCCUUUGUCUGUCCUUGUUUGUCCCCUCUACGUUUAGCUCCCCCUCCCCAGGUAGGCAAUAAAGAAGUAAAUAUUUAUAAUCUCUCUCUCUGGAUUAACAGAUAUGUUCAAACAUUUGUUUAUAUUUGUCCAGUGUGCUUGAUCAUACACUGCCACAGCAACUAAGACUUGUGAUAUGCACCUAGAAAAUAUCCUAUUAUACAUUAAUAUUAUGCACACAUCUCUCUUUCUCUCUCUCUCUCUUAUAAGGGAUGGGGCAGAGGAGAGGGUCAUAGUGCUACUAAGAACAAUCACACACAAAUACCAGGGCAUGCACAUAUAAGGAUACACAUCAUAGAAGAAUAGAAUGGAAUAAGCAGAGUAAGAGCACACAUGAAGAUGAAAAGUGUCACUGAGGAGGUCACAGAUGUGUGACGAAAGAUUUCCAGACAAUGGACAUAAGUUAGAAUAAGAACCGUAAUAAGUGAGCGAAGAACGAAUAUAUAUAUAUAUAUAUAUAUAUGAAUAUAUAUAUAUAUAUAUAUAUAUAUAUAUAUAUACAUAUAUGCAUAUACACAUUAUAUAUAUUAUAUACAUAUACACACACAUCCCCCAUACACACACAUACAGAAAUAUCUAUUUAACUAUAUAUAUAUAUAUAUAUAUAUAUAUAUAUACACUUUAGUUUCUAAACAAAACUGUCUGAUGAACAAGAACAUGAAACUGGGUGACAGUUUUUGUGAUAUUUUUGCUGCUUUUUAAUAAAGCGUAUUACUCUACCUCUGGUAUCCGAGUACUAUUUUUUCCACCUUGCUUCACAUUUAUGUGCUUACUCUGGUAUAUAUAUAUACACACACACACACUCACAGAUAUAUAUAUAUAUAUAUAUAUAUACAUAUAUUUAGAUGGAUGGAAGGCUAGACAGACAUAUAUAUACACACAUACACAUAGGUAAAUUGAAGAUUAAAAAAUUUUAAAUCGCAAAUAACAAAACAACAAAAGUCAACAGGACAUACACAUGGAAUGUAUUAGCUUGACCCUUAUAUAUAUAUAUAUAUAUAUAUAUACAUAAUCCAAGAGAGAAGUUGGAAAUACGAAUAAAAAUUUAUUAAAACAUUGACAAGACCUACAAUUGUUUCAAUUCAUCGUUUAUAGUAUAAAAUCAAUCAUAUUUGAUUUAAUUAAAUCAAUUUGGCUAAUUAUUAUAUGCCAGAAUAUCACCAGAGAAGAACGUACAAAGAAAUUUAUCUAUAUCAUAUUGAAAACAUAAUGAAAACCUUAAAUAAUCAAUGCACCAUUAAAAUUAAUACAUACUAUAAAAAUAAUAUAUAUGUGUGUGCCUAUAUUAUAAGGUCAGUCUAACCUUGGGUAUUUCUAUCCCUCUGUUUAUAUAUCCUCACUUGUACUUUAAUCUAUAUUAUAUAUAUAUAUAUAUAUAUAUAUAUAUAUAUAUAUAUAUUAUGGUAGGUAAACCGAGUAAACAAUACCAAAUAUAUAUGUAUAACUAAUGUAGGAUAAAAAUAUUUUCGGGAAAAAAAUUUCAUCAAUGGCCAGCAUAUCAAAAAAUACCUUUAAAGGUUAAAUUUAUAAAUAAUUUGCAAUAUAAGGGCAAAAGAGAAAUUCUAAUGCCAAAUAUGCCGAAAAAAAGACAAAAAUUGUCAAUUAACCAUUAUAAUUUAAAUUAUAAAUUAUAUUGGUUAAUUGACAAUUUUUGUCUUUUUUUCGGCAUAUUUGGCAUUAAAUUUUUCUUUUGCCCUUAUAUUGUAAAUUAUAUAUAUAUAUAUAUAUAUAUAUAUUAUACAGAUACAUAGAUUAUAUAUAUAUAUAUAUAUAUAUAUAUAUAUAUAUAUAUAUAUAUAUAUGUGUGUGUGUGUGUGUGUGUAUAUAUAUAUAUAGAGAGAGAGAGAGAGAUUAUACAUAUAUAUAGAUAUUAUAUAUAUAUAUUUACACACAUACAGCAAAGACAUAAAAUCAUUUCUAUUUUAACGAUAAAAAAAAAUAUGGUUCAAUUUGUUUUUUUUUUCUUUUGCAGACCCAUAGGAUGAAUACAACGAUUACAAUGGAGUGUGUAGCAUUGGUUAUCUUUUGAAUCCAUGGGAAAAAAGUACAAUGAAAUGAGAAAUAUGUUUGAGAGGAAAUUCAGUAAAGCAGGACUAACAGAUAAGUCAUUGUGUGUAAAGCAGAAAACAAAUCUAAAUGAACUGUGUCUGUACAUGACGAAAGGAGAAGU